UACGUAGGGGGCAAGCGUUGUCCGGAUUUAUUGGGCGUAAAGAGCGUGUAGGCGGCCAAGCAGGUCCGCUGUGAAAACUCGAGGCUCAACCUCGAGACGUCGGUGGAAACCGUUUGGCUAGAGUCCGGAAGAGGAGAGUGGAAUUCCCGGUGUAGCGGUGAAAUGCGCAGAUAUCGGGAGAAACACCGGUGGCGAAGGCGGUUCUCUGGGCCUGUACUGACGCUGAGGAGCGAAAGCGUGGGGAGCGAACAGG
rnacentral:rRNA from 1 species